rnacentral:misc_RNA from 1 species
GAUGAAGAACGUAGCGAAAUGCGAUAAGUAAUGUGAAUUGCAGAAUUCAGUGAAUCAUCGAAUCUUUGAACGCAUCUUGCGCUCCUUGGUAUUCUGAGGAGCAUGCCUGUUUGAGUGUCAUUAAAUUCUCAACUACACUGACUUUGAAUUGGUGUGGCUUGGAUUUGGGGGGAAAAUUGUUGUGGGCUUUUUGUAUAGUCGGCUCCCCUGAAAUUGAUUAGCGGUACCUUUGUGGAACUGUCUACAGGUGUGAUAAUUAUCUACAUCUUAGACAUCUGCUGGAAUGCUGCUUUCUAAACCUUACUUGUAUUGACAAUCUUGACCUCAAAUCAGGUAGGACUACCCGCUGAACUUAAGCAUAUCAAUAAGCGGAGGA